GACGAACGCUGGCGGCGUGCUUAACACAUGCAAGUCGAACGGAAAGGCCCUGCUUUUGUGGGGUGCUCGAGUGGCGAACGGGUGAGGAACACGUGAGUAACCUGCCCUUGACUUUGGGAUAACUUCAGGAAACUGGGGCUAAUACCGGAUAGGAGCUCCUGCUGCAGGGUGGGGGUUGGAAAGUUUCGGCGGUUGGGGAUGGACUCGCGGCUUAUGAGCUUGUUGGUGGGGGAGUGGCUUACCAAGGCUUUGACGGGUAGCCGGCCUGAGAGGGUGACCGGCCACAUGGGGACUGAGAUACGGACCAGACUCCUACGGGAGGCAGUAGGGGCAAAUAUUGCACAAUGGGAGGACGUCUGAUGCAGCAACGCCGCGUGCGGGAUGCCGGCCUUCGGGUUGUGAACCGCUUUCGCCUGUGACGAAGCGUGAGUGACGGUAAUGGGUAAAGAAGCACCGGCUAACUACGUG
rnacentral:rRNA from 1 species